UGGGGGAGGGGGACCUGCGCCGACAGCAACAACGAUCACGAAACAAGAGACAAACUGUAGCUGACUGAAUUUUCUUCGGAUUCGAUUGCUGCAGCAGGAAUUCGUCGAGGAGAAACAUUGCCGAAAGAGCAGACAUUAUGCUGCGCGCUCGUACCCGGCUUCUCUUCAUGCGUCCCGAAGCCGCUGCUGCAGAGCUGCGACGACUUCUCCCACUCUUGUCGUUCACUGGUAGAAGAACCGGUGCAGCCACGCAUUCAGUGGCGUCGCUGGUCGUGUCCACAGCGUACUCGGCUACAGCAGCACGGUCGGUGACGAACCACUCACGCGACUGCCCUGUCCUCUCGAAGAAACUGCCAUUGUCACUCAUUGGGAAAGAAUCCAGCUUUGCGGCGCGACCGUGUCUGAGCUGCGUGCGCGAGCGCGUGCACUACGUUUCCUCUGUGUCUUUCUGUCAUUAUUUUGAAAAGAAGUGUGCGGAAGCGCAACACCACCAGAACGGGGCAUCCAGCAACGGCGUCGUUGGUACUGCGGCGCUUCCAAACCUCUUGCUGGAGGCCAUUGAACGCAGCUACGGGUCUGUCAAUGCGUUCAAGGAUAGUGUGGCGCUUCAUUCAACAGGCGCCAUGAGCCCUGGACGACUGUGGAUCGUGUACACCCCUCCUAUCAGCGGUAGCGAACAUGGUGCUGUGAGCCUGCUGAACCUUCCAGCUUGCAGGGUUCCCCUGGUACACGGUCUCUGGCCGCUUGCUGUAAUUAACAUGACAGAGAAGCGCUUGUGUGAACAGAUUGCGUGCCGCUCUGGAAAAGGUGGCGACGCCGUCGAUGCUGAUAACGCUCCUGCAUGGUGCCACGCGGCUCGUACGCCUAAGACACUAGGUGCGCUUGCAACCACAGAGGAGGGAAAUGAUCGAGCAGGGAGCGUGGCGCAAGUAAGGCUCUCUUCCAUUCAAUCCGCCAUCGCAGAGGAAGCACUAAGUGCAAUGAACUGGAAAUUUGUUGAAAUGCAGCUCACGUCUGCGUUGGCCUACUACAGCUCCAAGGUGCGCAAACAAACACAGCGCGAGCAUCGAAAAGAAAGAGAGCAUGUGGCGGCAGUACGGGCAAUGAGCCAGCUGAAAGACAGCGGUGCAGUGAUUCAUGCGACGGACUGGGUGACAAUCACAUCUUCGAACUCAUUUGUUGCAUCGCCGGCAAGCGAGCCGAACCUUUCAGCUGCCGCGGCUGUGACGUCAUCUUCAUCAGCAAAGACAGAGAACAGCGCGCUAGGAGAAGCCAAUACUCAAACAGCUGCAGUGGCGGUCCCUAGCGCGGAGGCAACCGUCACAAACACUGCCUCUAACUCUGCGCAGCCAGCUGACAACACAGCGGCAGGCGCCGCCGCCGCAGAACCACGCAUUGUGCAGCAAGCGGAUGGAACGUGGGAGUACCACUACAACAACGGGAGCGUGACAAAGGCUUACCCCGACGGCACCAAGGUAUUUCAAACGGAGAGCUGGACAACGACAGUGUUUGUGAACGGCGACACGCUUUUCGAGUACCCAAACAACACUUCGAUUUUAGAUCGCGCGGAUGGUGUGCGCGUGACAACUUAUGCCGACGGCACGAAAAAGGAGGAGCGACUCAAGUGAAGAUUAUAGGGUGAGCAGCUCGAUGCGUUCUUUGUGGUGGCGUUGAGCAGAGGCUCAGCGAAGAUGCGUGAAACGAAGCCGUGUGGCUUACGUGCCGCUGUGAUUCUUGCGGGUUCCUCGACGGGUCUGCACUCUCUUGCCGAAAUGACGACUCAUUCAGCAAGAGGAUGACGCGCGAAGCAGUCGUCGUUGCUCUUACAGGUGAUCCUAAUUCUCUUCUCUCGAUUGCGGAAGGAAAAAGCAUGGCGCACACAUGCAGACUCUCGGCUGCUGCUUCUGAAGGGAAAGGUGCUUUUGCUUUUUUUUUGUCCCUCUACGUGCAGACUGCAACGGGUUGAAGGCUGGUAGUGAUCUUGUUUCGAAAUCGAACCAGAACGUGUGGUGCAGGCGAGCUGCUGCUUCGCGCUACACUUCACAGUAUGAAUGAUAAGUAGAGAAACAGCACAGAACCUCUAGUUCUCGUCUUGCGGAGGGAAGCGAGGUCUGAUAGCGCAGGUGCACUUCGCGCAGCGUGCGUGACCACCUAGGCGAAUGCGAACAUCACUGGCUAAUCCCUCCUCCAUUUCUCUACGGUUGUGUGUGAGUCCUUCGUCGGCAGCGCUCCUACAAGUGUUUUUCUCUUCGCGGUGAUGUGGUCACGAUUGCGGUGUCUCACGCUUCCUGGCACGACUGUGGCGGAGGAGUAGGGCACCAGAGGCACAUUACCAGGCUUGUAAAAUGACGCAAUUGGGAACUGCGUCCUCAUCCUGGGAGGAGGGCGGCCUGCUCUCGAUUCGUUUCUUUGCCCCUUUUCUGUCGCCCUCUUUGGCCUCAACACCAUGCGUUCGCUACGCGCGAUUAUCGAAUGCGGCAAGAACCUUGAGCGUGAGUUUUCCUUUUUGUUGACCGUUGCUUCCACUCUGUAUGACGUGUGUUCCACGACGACGCGCCCUAAACAACCAAUGCACACAAAUCGCAUUUCUGCAAGUAGAGUGAAGCUUGCACGCACUCACCCUCACUUACUUUUUCUUGUGCACAGCAAGGCAUCGGCGGUGCGCAUCAAGAAUCACUAUCGGCC
rnacentral:misc_RNA from 1 species